UACAGAGGUCCCGAGCGUUGUUCGGAUUCACUGGGCGUAAAGGGUGCGUAGGCGGUCGGGUAAGUCUGAUGUGAAAUCUCACAGCUUAACUGUGAAACUGCAUUGGAUACUAUUCGGCUUGAGAGUUGGAGGGGGGACUGGAAUUCUUGGUGUAGCAGUGAAAUGCGUAGAUAUCAAGAGGAACACCAGUGGCGAAGGCGAGUCCCUGGACAACUUCUGACGCUGAGGUGCGAAAGCGUGGGGAGCAAACAGG
rnacentral:rRNA from 1 species